CUUGACUGUAUCCUGGAAUUGGGUUCGGGCUUUUCUUGCGCAGCCUAGGUGGGAGGCUAUGAAGAUUUCCUUCCGGGGAAGUUGGAGCCAUCAGUGAGAGACCACUCUGGAGAGGCUAGAAUCCUAAUGGUGAUCCUUGAAUCAGGACACUUGACAGUUUCAGGUGGGCAGUUUUUCUGGGGCGGAAGCCUCAUAAAAGGUAACUGAGGCGCGCAAAGGUCCCCUCAGUCUGGACGGAAAUCAGACAUUGAGUGUAAAGGCAAAAGGGGGCUUGACUGCAAGACCCACAAGUCGAGCAGGAGCGAAAGCUGGCCUUAGUGAUCCGACGGUGCCGUGUGGAAGGGCCGUCGCUCAACGAAUAAAAGUUA
rnacentral:rRNA from 1 species